GACGAACGCUGGCGGCAGGCCUAACACAUGCAAGUCGAGCGAGCGGCGGACGGGUGAGUAAUGUAUGGGGACUGCCCGAUAGAGGGGGAUAACUACUGGAAACGGUGGCUAAUACCGCAUACUAUCGGAUAACCCAUAUGGGAUUAGCUAGUAGGUGGGGUAAAGGCUCCCCUAGGGCACGAUCUCUACCUGGUCUGAGAGGAUGAUCAGCCAAACGGGGACUGAGACACGGCCCAGACUCCGACGGAGGCAGAAGGGGGGAAUAUUGCACAAUGGGCGCAAGCCUGAUGCAGCAAUGCCGCGUGUAUGAAGAAGGCCUUAGGGUUGUAAAGUACUUUCAGCGGGGAGGCGUUACCCGCAGAAGAAGCACCGGCUAACUCCGUGCCAGCAGCCGCGGUAAUUC
rnacentral:rRNA from 1 species